AUGGCAGCGGCCGCCUCUCCAUCUCUCAGUCUCCCUCCACCAGCGCAGCGCGCCACCCCAAAGCCGCGCCGCCGCACGCCGCCGAGAGACGUGGUCUCGUGGACGGCUGCCAUCGCGCGCCCGGCGCGGGAGGGCGACCUGCCGGCGACGGCCGCGGCGCUCUCCGCCAUGCUCUCCUCCCCCGUCGCGCCUGCGCCCAACGACGUCACCCUCCUCACCGUCGUCUCUGCCUGCGCCGGCGCCCCCUCCUCCCCGCUGGCCCAGCCCCUCGCGCUAUCGCUCCACGCCAUGGCCAUCAAGCUCUUCCCCGGCCACCUCCUCCUCUGCACCUGCCUCGCGCGGUUCUACCUCGCGUCCCGCCUCCCCCACCACGCCCUCCAGCUGUUCGGCUCCAUGCCCGUCAGGUCCGUGGUCACCUACAACACCAUGAUAACCGUCCUCAUGUGCAACGGCCUCGUCGCCACCGCGCGCGAGGUGUUCGACGGAAUGCCGGACCCGGAUAAGGUCUCCUGGACGGCGCUCAUCGACGGGUGCGUCAAGAACGGGCGCCACGACGAGGCGAUCAACUGCUUCCAUGCCAUGCUGCUGGACGGUGUCGAGCCAGACUACGUCACGCUGGUAGCUGCUAUCUCUGCAAGUGCCGAGGUCGGCGCGCUCAGUCUCGGUAUGUGGGUGCACCGGUUCGUGACCAGGGAGAGGCUGGAGGGCAACAUCCGCAUCGCCAACUCGUUGAUCGACAUGUAUGCUCGGUGCGGUCAGGUGGAGUUUGCACGGCUGGUGUUUGACAGCAUGAGGAAGCGGACGGUGGUCUCGUGGAACUCGAUGAUCGUCGGGUUGGCAGCCAACGGAAGGUGCACGGACGCCAUCGAGCAUUUCGAGGCAAUGAGGAGGAAGGGGUUCAAGCCAGACGCUGUGACGUUCACGGGCGUCCUAACGGCCUGCAGCCAUGCUGGUCUCACCGACGAGGGGCUGAGGUACUAUGACGCCAUGAGGGAAGAGCACGGCAUCCGACCAAGGAUGGAGCACUACGGGUGCGUGGUUGACCUGCUCGGCCGGGCCGGGCGCCUGGACGAGGCCAUGAGCAUGGUGGCGACCAUGCCGAUGCGGCCGAAUGAGGUGGUGCUUGGAGCCCUGCUCGCGGGUUGUCGGAUUCACGGGGACGUGGACAUGGCUGAGCAGCUGAUGCAGUACCUCCUCGAGCAGGACCCUGGCGGCGACUCGAACUACGUGCUGCUGUCGAACAUCUACGCCGCCGUCGGGAAAUGGGAUGGGGCCGGCAAGGUCAGGGGCCUGAUGAAAGCCCGGGGGGUGAAGAAGAGGCCAGGCCGCAGUGCCGUGGAGAUCGACGGCGACCUGCAUGAGUUUGUCUGCGGUGAUCGGUCUCAUCCGCAGGCUGGGGAGGUGUUGGACAUGCUUGACCUGCUCAGUCAUGAGAUGGCAGGGCGUGAGGCCUUCUACGGUCAUUGUGACUCCCAUUACAUGUACAGUGUGGGGAGAGGCAUCCAACAUGCGCAGCAAGCCAGUAACACAGCUCAAUCAAGCAUAUACACUGCAUUUCUGGAAGGUGAAGAACAACACAAGCUCCUGAACUGA
rnacentral:rRNA from 1 species